AUUGAACGCUGGCGGCAGGCCUAACACAUGCAAGUCGAACGCGUCGGGCACGUGUGUGAAAUGUCUGGGAAAUAGCUUUAAGGAGGGGGAUAACUACUGGAAACGGUACCUAAUACCGCAAACCAUUCAAUGUUCCCUGAUUGGUCUAGCUAGUGGGUGGGGUAAAGGCUCACCUAGGCGACGAUCCCUAGCUGGUCUGAGAGGAUGACCGGCCACACUGGAACUGAGACACGGUCCAGACUCCUACGGGAGGCAGCAGUGGGGAAUAUUGCGCAAUGGGCGCAAGCCUGAUGCAGCCAUGCCGCGUGUGUGAAGAAGGCCUUCGGGUUGUAAAGUACUUUCAGCAGGGAGGCGGUACCCGAAGAGAAAGCACCGGCUAACUCCGUGCCAGCAGCCGCGGUAAUUC
rnacentral:rRNA from 1 species